AGUGAACGCUGGCGGUAGGCCUAACACAUGCAAGUCGAACGGCAGCACAGUAAGAGCUUGCUCUUACGGGUGGCGAGUGGCGGACGGGUGAGGAAUACAUCGGAAUCUACUUUUUCGUGGGGGAUAACGUAGGGAAACUCACGCUAAUACCGCAUACGACCUACGGGUGAAAGCAGGGGAUCUUCGGACCUUGCGCGAUUGAAUGAGCGGAUGUCGGAUUAGCUAGUUAGCGGGGUAAAGGACAACCAAGGCGACGAUCCGUAGCUGGUCUGAGAGGAUGAUCAGCCACACUGGCACUGAGACACGGUCCAGACUCCUACGGGAGGCCGCAGUGGGGAAUAUUGGACAAUGGGCGCAAGCCUGAUCCAGCAAUACCGCGUGAGUGAAGAAGGCCUUCGGGUUGUAAAGCCCUUUUGUUGGGAAAGAAAAGCAGCAGGUUAAUACCCCGCUGUUCUGACGGUACCCAAAGAAUAAGCACCGGCUAACUUCGUG
rnacentral:rRNA from 1 species